CCUACGGGAGACAGCAGUGAGGAAUAUUGGUCAAUGGACGAGAGUCUGAACCAGCCAAGUAGCGUGAAGGAUGACUGCCCUAUGGGUUGUAAACUUCUUUUAUAUGGGAAUAAAACGUUCCACGUGUGGGAUUUUGUAUGUACCAUAUGAAUAAGGAUCGGCUAACUCCGUGCCAGCAGCCGCGGUAAUACGGAGGAUCCGAGCGUUAUCCGGAUUUAUUGGGUUUAAAGGGAGCGUAGGUGGAUUGUUAAGUCAGUUGUGAAAGUUUGCGGCUCAACCGUAACAUUGCAGUUGAAACUGGCAGUCUUGAGUACAGUAGAGGUGGGCGGAAUUCGUGGUGUAGCGGUGAAAUGCUUAGAUAUCACGAAGAACUCCGAUUGCGAAGGCAGUUCACUGGACUGCAACUGACACUGAGGCUCGAAAGUGUGGGUAUCAAACAGGAUUAGAUACCCCAGUAGUC
rnacentral:rRNA from 1 species